rnacentral:rRNA from 1 species
GACGAACGCUGGCGGCGUGCUUAACACAUGCAAGUCGAACGGAAAGGCCCUGCUUGCAGGGUACUCGAGUGGCGAACGGGUGAGUAACACGUGGGUGAUCUGCCCUGCACUUCGGGAUAAGCCUGGGAAACUGGGUCUCAUACCGGAUAGGAGCCAUUUUUAGUGUGAUGGUUGGAAAGUUUUUUCGGUGUAGGAUGAGCUCGCGGCCUAUCAGCUUGUUGGUGGGGUAAUGGCCUACCAAGGCGGCGACGGGUAGCCGGCCUGAGAGGGUGGACGGCCACAUUGGGACUGAGAUACGGCCCAGACUCCUACGGGAGGCAGCAGUGGGGAAUAUUGCACAAUGGGCGCAAGCCUGAUGCAGCGACGCCGCGUGGGGGAUGACGGCCUUCGGGUUGGAAACUCCUUUCGCUAGGGACGAAGCUUUUUGUGACGGUACCUAGAUAAGAAGCACCGGCUAACUACGUG